GACGAACGCUGGCGGCGUGCUUAACACAUGCAAGUCGAACGGAAAGGCCCUGCUUUUGUGGGGUGCUCGAGUGGCGAACGGGUGAGUAACACGUGAGUAACCUGCCCUUGACUUUGGGAUAACUUCAGGAAACUGGGGCUAAUACCGGAUAGGAUCUCCUGCUGCAUGGUGGGGGUUGGAAAGUUUCGGCGGUUGGGGAUGGACUCGCGGCUUAUCAGCUUGUUGGUGGGGUAGUGGCUUACCAAGGCUUUGACGGGUAGCCGGCCUGAGAGGGUGACCGGCCACAUUGGGACUGAGAGACGGCCCAGACUCCUACGGGAGGCAGCAGUGGGGAAUAUUGCAGAAUGGGCGGAAGCCUGAUGCAGCAACGCCGCGUGCGGGAUGACGGCCUUCGGGUUGUAAACCGAUUUCGCCUGUGACGAAGAGUGAGUGACGGUAAUGGGUAAAGAAGCACCGGCUAACUACGUG
rnacentral:rRNA from 1 species